UACGAAAGGGGCUAGCGUUGUUCGGAAUCACUGGGCGUAAAGGGCGCGUAGGCGGCGCCGCAAGUCGGCUGUGAAAGCCCGGGGCCCAACCCCGGAGGUGCAGCCGAGGCUGUGGUGCUGGAGGCCGGAAGAGGAGGGUGUAAUACCCAGUGUAGAGGUGAAAUUCGUAGAUAUUGGGUGGAACACCGGUGUCGAAAGCGGCUCUCUGGUCCGGUCCUGACGCUGAGUCGCAAAAGCGUGCGGAGCAAACAGG
rnacentral:rRNA from 1 species